rnacentral:tRNA from 1 species
GGUGGUGUAGCUCAGUGGUAGAGUGCUUGCCUAGCAUGCAAAAGGACCCCGGUUCGAAUCCCCAGCACUG